UACGUAGGGUGCAAGCGUUGUCCGGAAUUAUUGGGCGUAAAGAGCUCGUAGGCGGUCAGUCGCGUCUGCUGUGAAAACUCGGGGCUUAACUCCGGGCCUGCAGUGGGUACGGGCUGACUAGAGUGCGGUAGGGGAGACUGGAAUUCCUGGUGUAGCGGUGAAAUGCGCAGAUAUCAGGAGGAACACCGGUGGCGAAGGCGGGUCUCUGGGCCGUAACUGACGCUGAGGAGCGAAAGCGUGGGGAGCGAAAGGG
rnacentral:rRNA from 1 species